CUUCUCCCAGAUCUCGGGGGACACCCUCCUUGUGCCACGUGGCGCGGGAGCGGACGGAGAGCCAGGUGCUGGACGAGCCAGCACUUAACCCAAGGCAGAGUACCCAGAGAUAGCAAGUUCCCAGAGAUCGCUUGUGGAUGAGUGGAUUCAGUGUGGAAUGUUUGCCAAAUGAAGACCUGGGUGCAGUUUGAACAGUGUUAUGAAACAGCAAAGGAGGGAGCAGCUGACUGCCUAGGGAAUCUGUGUGCCCUUGAGGGUGGAGACUAUAUUCCAGUUGGAGAUUCAAAUAUUGAUCAGAACACCAUGCUACAGAAACAAACAAUGGGAAAGUUCUUUAUGUACCAGCAUGUGACACCAAGCUAUAUUGUUAAGUGUACACUGAUGAACUACCUCUGGAUGUAUUCUGGGAACACUGAUUGCCAGAUUGGGAUGGGACCUGAGUGGUUGAGGGAACAGAUAAGAAGAGGCUCUUCCUCAGAUUCCUUUUGUACCUUUGAAAUUUGAGCCAUGUGUAUGUACUGAGUCGAAAAAUACAUAACAAAUAUUAAAUUUAUACAUAAGAUCUAGUAAAAAAAAAUAUUUGCUCAAAAACCACCUAAAAAAUCCCACCAAAAUAAAUAAAUAAAAGCAAAUGUCA
rnacentral:lncRNA from 1 species